rnacentral:rRNA from 1 species
UACGUAGGGGGCAAGCGUUGUCCGGAAUCAUUGGGCGUAAAGAGCGCGUAGGCGGCCCGAUAAGUCCGCUGUGAAAGUCAAGGGCUCAACCCUUGAAUGCCGGUGGAUACUGUCGGGCUAGAGUCCGGAAGAGGCGAGUGGAAUUCCGUGGUGUAGCGGUGAAAUGCGCAGAUAUCAGGAGGAACACCAAUGGCGAAGGCAGCUCGCUGGGACGGUACUGACGCUGAGGCGCGAAAGCGUGGGGAGCAAACAGG